AAUGCUGCUGAGAAUGGCCAUGGGAAGGGGGAGAAUUCAUCACACAGAGGCUUCACAUGUUUGGUUUUCCCACUUUUGGAACAGAACAUUUUAUGAAGAAGGAAUCGCACGCACCCUUUUCAUAGUAAGGUAAAGCUAAAGGGACCCCUGACUAUUAGGUCCAGUCGUGACCGACUCUGGGGUUGUGGCGUUCAUCUCGCUUUAUUGGCCGGGGGAGCCGGCGUACAGCUUCCGGGUCAGCAUGACUAAGCCACUUCUGGCGAACCAGAGCAGCACACGGAAACGGCGUUUACCUUCCCGCCGGAGCGGUAUCUAUUUAUCUACUUGCACUUUGAUGUGCUUUCGAACUGCUAGGUUGGCAGGAGCAGGGACCGAACAAUGGGAGUUCACCCCAUCGCGGAGAUUCAAACCACCGACCUUCUGAUCAGCAAGUCCUAGGCUCUGUGGUUUAACCCACAGUGCCACCCGCGUCCCUUUUCAUAGUAGGACCCCUGAAAAUAAUGGACAUGGCUUAUUUAGCUCCCUUAGUUAUUACGUACUUAUCUCCCUUAAUUUCAAUGGGUGCGCCCUGAAUAGAACUUGGUUAGAUACAAGCCAAAUAAUUGAAUGCUAAAGUGUAGAGAGCCCAGCAUGGACAAAACAACAACCACACAGCAAGUUCACUUCUCUGGUGAAAGGAAAAGGAAAAGGAAAGGAGUCAAGGGGCUCCCUUUCAUCUGUUCUCCUUUUUCGAAAGGAUAAGCUUAAAAUCCUUGCUAUUCUGGUCUUCUGUUCACUGCAGGGGAUGAGGGGAUGUGAAAGGAAUCAGAAAAAAAAAAUUACUCCCUGCAGAAGUGGCAUGUGAGGUGGGGCAGAUUUGUGGACCUGUCCUGAUACUGGCAUCACUGGCAUCAAACAAGGAUGGGGCAGGGCAGUGGCAAGGAUAAGACCAUGCAGGCAAGCCUGUGGGGGAGGGGGCACCAGAUUGGCAGUGGCUGUCCUUGCCAAUGCAACUCUGCUAUCCUAAUCUUGCCGCCGCCACCCCAGCCCUGCCCAGGUCAGCAGUGGCGAUGCUAUUCCUGGGGGUGGCUCCACAGACCUGCCUCACCACAUGCACUUCUAUUGCCCAGCAGAAGCCUGAAAUUGUACAUCCCACUUCUCAGGAUUCCACCUCCUCGUUCAGCAACAUGCUUAGAUCCAGCCUUAGAAUUGCAGUAUAGAGAAAAUGAAGGACAUUUCUACCCUUUUAGCUUCGACCUCUUUAAACUGCAGUAGAUGUCCCCUCCAAUCUGCCUGUUAAUAGGGACCAGAUCUUUUCUAUCACUAUCCAUUAUAAGGUCACCCGAGACGCCGCUCUGUCUUCUGACUUUUAUAUUUGGCCUGUCACUGGAACUUCAUUUUUUCGCCUACAUGAGAAUUCAUCUACCAGAACUUAUCCAGGGCUUUCACAGAUUGAUGCUGAUAACUAUAUUCCAAGCUUUUGUGACCUCCAAGGUUAGAUUAUUGAAGGGUAUUAGUUUAUAGCCUCUCAUAAAAUGCUCUCUGGAUGCCACGUUGCACAAAGGUCUUUUAGUUCAAGCCUGAGAGAGUUGCCUUACCUUGCCAUACAAACCUUGGGGGAGUUAGACUGAUACUUGUCAAAUGUUUAUUAAAUGUUAAAGUUUUCUUUAUUACAUAGAAGACUGAACAUGGUCUGGAACUUGCUCUUCUCUAAAUAGAUGUCUCAGAAUCCUCAAACAAAUGGAAGACCCAAACAAAGCAAGGUUUUAAGGCCACAGACACGCCAUACAUUUUUAAAGCAGUAUGAUAGCCCUUUGAACAGACAUGGCUUCCGGCAAAUAAUUCUGGGAACUGUAGUUUGUUAAGAGUGUUAAGAGUUGCUCUCUAUUCCCUUCAUGAGCUAUAGUUCUCAGAGUGGUUCCCAAAGAACUGGGAAGACCAUCGUGGCUGAGAGUCCUGGAGGACCUGCAGUCCUUUUCCAUCUGGAAGCACAGCACCCUGACUCACUCUAGCUACAAAAGCUGAGGUUGCUGAGGAGGCUGAAGACCACAUUGACUGUGAGUCCUGGAGGACCUCAUCCUUGCUUUGUAUCAUUCCUGGCCCAACUGCACUGGCUGCCAAUUAUUUUCUGGGCCUAAUUCAAACUGCUGGUUCUGUCCUAUAAAGCCUUAAACAGAUCAAUACUGCAAUACCUCAAGGACCGCUUCUCCCCAGAUGAACUGACCCAGAACCUUCAAUUGUCAUCUGAGGCACUUCUUCACGUGCCUUCUCCAUGAGAGAUCUAGAGUGGCAACACAAGAACGGGCCUUUUUUUGCAGUGGCUUCCUGUUUGUGGAAUGCUCUCCCCAGGGAGGCUCACCUAGCACCUUUAGGUGCAAGGCGAAAAUGUUUCUCUUUAGCUAGGUCUUUGGCUGAAUAACAUUCUAUGUCCUAUUAAAUGUGUUUAUGGGAAAGGGUUAUGUUAGGAUGCUGUCAGCGGCUCCCAGCUGGUUGUCCAGGAAAGUAUAAAGACAAGGAAAAGUUUCUUACCAUCUUUUUUAUUUCAAUAUUACAGAGAAAGGCUAUAGAACCCAACCUCUUGGAUACUGGCAUUGUCUCAAGUGAAUAUCCACACACACACACACACCGUCUCUCCUAUUUCCUCAUUCGUCACUUCUGUGGGUGCUGCUACGUGCCCUCUGUCUUUGAGCUCUUUGCUUUCCUACUUUUAAGGCUCGCCGGGUUCUGGGAGAUGGGGGGGGGUCUGGAAUGCUUUCUAAAGACACCAUGUCAGCCAGCUGCUGUUCCAGUCCUGCCUCCUCCUCUCCUAUUAUUUCCCAACUUUCCCCCUCAUCUGCCUUUGAGCUGUGACCUCCUUCAAACCACUGU